GAUGAAGAACGUAGCGAAAUGCGAUAAGUAAUGUGAAUUGCAGAAUUCAGUGAAUCAUCGAAUCUUUGAACGCACAUUGCGCCCGCCAGUAUUCUGGCGGGCAUGCCUGUCCGAGCGUCAUUUCAACCCUCGAGCCCCUCCGGGGGGUCGGCGUUGGGGAUCGGCCCCUCACCGGGCCGCCCCCGAAAUACAGUGGCGGUCUCGCCGCAGCCUCUCCUGCGCAGUAGUUUGCACACUCGCACCGGGAGCGCGGCGCGGCCACAGCCGUAAAACACCCCAAGCAUUCUGAAAUGUUGACCUCGGAUCAGGUAGGAAUACCCGCUGAACUUAAGCAUAUCAAUAAGCGGAGGA
rnacentral:misc_RNA from 1 species